rnacentral:rRNA from 1 species
UACGUAGGGGGCGAGCGUUGUCCGGAAUUAUUGGGCGUAAAGGGUGCGCAGGCGGUUUUUCAAGUCAGAUGUGGAAUAUCCCGGCUUAACUGGGAGGGGCCAUUUGAAACUGAAAGACUAGAGUGCAGGAGAGGAUGAGGCGGAAUUCCCGGUUGUAGUGGUGAAAUGCGUAGAUAUCGGGAGGAACACCAGUGGCGAAGGCGGACUAUCUGCCUGCAACUGACGCUGAGGCACGAAGGCUAGGGGAGCGAACAGG